GACGAACGCUGGCGGCGUGCCUAAUACAUGCAAGUAGAACGCUGAAGGAGGAGCUUGCUUCUCUGGAUGAGUUGCGAACGGGUGAGUAACGCGUAGGUAACCUGCCUGGUAGUGGGGGAUAACUAUUGGAAACGAUAGCUAAUACCGCAUAAUAGCGGUGGUUGCAUGUUAACGGUUGAAAAGUUCAAUUGCAACCGCUACCAGAUGACCUGCGUUGUAUUAGCUAGUUGGUGGGGUUACGGCCCAACAAGGCGACGAUACAUAGCCGACCUGAGAGGGGGAUCGGCCACACUGGGACUGAGACACGGCCCAGACUCCUACGGGAGGCAGCAGUAGGGAAUCUUCGGCAAUGGACGGAAGUCUGACCGAGCAACGCCGCGUGAGUGAAGAAGGUUUUCGGAUCGUAAAGCUCUGUUGUAAGAGAAGAACGAGUGUGAGAGUGGAAAGUUCACACUGUGACGGUAUCUUACCAGAAAGGGACGGCUAACUACGUG
rnacentral:rRNA from 1 species